GGGUUGGCUCAGUUGGUUAGAGCAUGGUGCUAAUAAUGCCAAGGUCUGGGUUCAAUCCCCAUACAAGCCA
rnacentral:tRNA from 1 species